rnacentral:rRNA from 1 species
UUAAGCGACUAAGCGUACACGGUGGAUGCCCUGGCAGUCAGAGGCGAUGAAGGACGUGCUAAUCUGCGAUAAGCGUCGGUGAGGUGAUAUGAACCGUUAUAACCGGCGAUUUCCGAAUGGGGAAACCCAGUGUGUUUCGACACACUAUCAUUAACUGAAUCCAUAGGUUAAUGAGGCGAACCGGGGGAACUGAAACAUCUAAGUACCCCGAGGAAAAGAAAUCAACCGAGAUUCCCCCAGUAGCGGCGAGCGAACGGGGAGGAGCCCAGAGCCUGAAUCAGUGUGUGUGUUAGUGGAAGCGUCUGGAAAGGCGUGCGAUACAGGGUGACAGCCCCGUACACAAAAAUGCACAUAUUGUGAGCUCGAUGAGUAGGGCGGGACACGUGGUAUCCUGUCUGAAUAUGGGGGGACCAUCCUCCAAGGCUAAAUACUCCUGACUGACCGAUAGUGAACCAGUACCGUGAGGGAAAGGCGAAAAGAACCCCGGCGAGGGGAGUGAAAAAGAACCUGAAACCGUGUACGUACAAGCAGUGGGAGCCUCUUAAUGGGGUGACUGCGUACCUUUUGUAUAAUGGGUCAGCGACUUAUAUUCUGUAGCAAGGUUAACCGAAUAGGGGAGCCGAAGGGAAACCGAGUCUUAACUGGGCGUUAAGUUGCAGGGUAUAGACCCGAAACCCGGUGAUCUAGCCAUGGGCAGGUUGAAGGUUGGGUAACACUAACUGGAGGACCGAACCGACUAAUGUUGAAAAAUUAGCGGAUGACUUGUGGCUGGGGGUGAAAGGCCAAUCAAACCGGGAGAUAGCUGGUUCUCCCCGAAAGCUAUUUAGGUAGCGCCUCGUGAAUUCAUCUCCGGGGGUAGAGCACUGUUUCGGCAAGGGGGUCAUCCCGACUUACCAACCCGAUGCAAACUGCGAAUACCGGAGAAUGUUAUCACGGGAGACACACGGCGGGUGCUAACGUCCGUCGUGAAGAGGGAAACAACCCAGACCGCCAGCUAAGGUCCCAAAGUCAUGGUUAAGUGGGAAACGAUGUGGGAAGGCCCAGACAGCCAGGAUGUUGGCUUAGAAGCAGCCAUCAUUUAAAGAAAGCGUAAUAGCUCACUGGUCGAGUCGGCCUGCGCGGAAGAUGUAACGGGGCUAAACCAUGCACCGAAGCUGCGGCAGCGACACUAUGUGUUGUUGGGUAGGGGAGCGUUCUGUAAGCCUGUGAAGGUGGCCUGUGAGGGUUGCUGGAGGUAUCAGAAGUGCGAAUGCUGACAUAAGUAACGAUAAAGCGGGUGAAAAGCCCGCUCGCCGGAAGACCAAGGGUUCCUGUCCAACGUUAAUCGGGGCAGGGUGAGUCGACCCCUAAGGCGAGGCCGAAAGGCGUAGUCGAUGGGAAACAGGUUAAUAUUCCUGUACUUGGUGUUACUGCGAAGGGGGGACGGAGAAGGCUAUGUUGGCCGGGCGACGGUUGUCCCGGUUUAAGCGUGUAGGCUGGUUUUCCAGGCAAAUCCGGAAAACCAAGGCUGAGGCGUGAUGACGAGGCACUACGGUGCUGAAGCGACAAAUGCCCUGCUUCCAGGAAAAGCCUCUAAGCAUCAGGUAACAUCAAAUCGUACCCCAAACCGACACAGGUGGUCAGGUAGAGAAUACCAAGGCGCUUGAGAGAACUCGGGUGAAGGAACUAGGCAAAAUGGUGCCGUAACUUCGGGAGAAGGCACGCUGAUAUGUAGGUGAAGCGACUUGCUCGUGGAGCUGAAAUCAGUCGAAGAUACCAGCUGGCUGCAACUGUUUAUUAAAAACACAGCACUGUGCAAACACGAAAGUGGACGUAUACGGUGUGACGCCUGCCCGGUGCCGGAAGGUUAAUUGAUGGGGUUAGCAGUAACGCGAAGCUCUUGAUCGAAGCCCCGGUAAACGGCGGCCGUAACUAUAACGGUCCUAAGGUAGCGAAAUUCCUUGUCGGGUAAGUUCCGACCUGCACGAAUGGCGUAAUGAUGGCCAGGCUGUCUCCACCCGAGACUCAGUGAAAUUGAACUCGCUGUGAAGAUGCAGUGUACCCGCGGCAAGACGGAAAGACCCCGUGAACCUUUACUAUAGCUUGACACUGAACAUUGAGCCUUGAUGUGUAGGAUAGGUGGGAGGCUUUGAAGUGUGGACGCCAGUCUGCAUGGAGCCGGCCUUGAAAUACCACCCUUUAAUGUUUGAUGUUCUAACGUUGGCCCGUAAUCCGGGUUGCGGACAGUGUCUGGUGGGUAGUUUGACUGGGGCGGUCUCCUCCUAAAGAGUAACGGAGGAGCACGAAGGUUGGCUAAUCCUGGUCGGACAUCAGGAGGUUAGUGCAAUGGCAUAAGCCAGCUUGACUGCGAGCGUGACGGCGCGAGCAGGUGCGAAAGCAGGUCAUAGUGAUCCGGUGGUUCUGAAUGGAAGGGCCAUCGCUCAACGGAUAAAAGGUACUCCGGGGAUAACAGGCUGAUACCGCCCAAGAGUUCAUAUCGACGGCGGUGUUUGGCACCUCGAUGUCGGCUCAUCACAUCCUGGGGCUGAAGUAGGUCCCAAGGGUAUGGCUGUUCGCCAUUUAAAGUGGUACGCGAGCUGGGUUUAGAACGUCGUGAGACAGUUCGGUCCCUAUCUGCCGUGGGCGCUGGAGAACUGAGGGGGGCUGCUCCUAGUACGAGAGGACCGGAGUGGACGCAUCACUGGUGUUCGGGUUGUCAUGCCAAUGGCACUGCCCGGUAGCUAAAUGCGGAAGAGAUAAGUGCUGAAAGCAUCUAAGCACGAAACUUGCCCCGAGAUGAGUUCUCCCUGAGACUUAGAGUCUCCUGAAGGAACGUUGAAGACGACGACGUUGAUAGGCCGGGUGUGUAAGCGCAGCGAUGCGUUGAGCUAACCGGUACUAAUGAACCGUGAGGCUUAACCUU